rnacentral:lncRNA from 1 species
UCAUUCAAAUCAUAGGCCCUAAAGGAAAGCAUGCGUUCAAUCAUAGGGCUUGUUAUUAACCAUGUCAAAUUACCCUUACUACUAGCUCAUUUUCAAAUCACACUUAAUACUAGCAAAUUGAGUAUUAGCUACCGUUGGCUCUUUUUCAAAGAUAAUGGUUGUUAGCUAGAUUUCUUUCUACCUUACAUAGAUUUAUUGGAAAAUGGAAAGAUUGGAACAAACAUACUAGUUAUACCUUUCGUCCACGUAUAAAUUGACUAUGCCAUUUGUACGCAUAGAGUCAUAUGUGUUGUUACUCCAUAAUAGAAUAGGGAACAACUAUGGAAAUGUUGGAUAAGGAAAGAAAUGUUGGUGUGUGUUUUGUUCAUCAUUUAUAGAAUAUGUUCCUAAGGGAGAAAUCCACUUACAUGAAUGGAAUUCCUUACAUUAAUAUUGGGGAGAAAUCUAUCAAUCAAGAUUGGGGAGAAAUCUAUCAAUCAAGAUUGGAUUUAUUUAUUGACUUCCCCCAUUCCUUUAUUGAAAACCCGAACCUAUUCUUUGGACUCGGUCAAGAAGUGGUCAACUUCAAACUAUUAGGACUACUAGACUUACCACAAUUCCCCCAUUUACUGGUAUUUCACUCUUUAUUAACUCCCUUACCUAACGAACGCUUAUUUGGUUUGUUCCCUUAACUACUACAGGAUCAGGAUCAGUGCUAGGAAAUGAUGUUUCUGUUCGAAAGUAAGAUGUUUUGUCGACUAGGAGGAACCGACAACAAAGAAAGACAUAUGAAAAUAUAGACUUGUUAAUGACACCGGUGAACAAAGGACUAACACCAACCGAGCACUCCUACUAAUCAGAAUGAAACUAAAGCAAAGGUAGGGGCGAGAUACUUGCUAUAAGAAAAUAAGGUCUCCUAUUCCUAUCGUCCUGUCCUUGCUGUAAGAAAAGAAUGUUGGUAUCCUAUAGUGCUGGGGGCUGUAAGAAAAGAAUGUUGGUGUAUCCUAUCGUGCUUGUGCUAUAAGAAAAAAAGAAUGUUGUGGUAUCCUAUGGAAGUGGGGAACAAUACUAUAGAAACUCCCUACUGACUCGAAAACUCAUGGCUUCAAGACUCGUUGCUCUAAAACUCACAUAUUACAGCUUACUCUAAUGCUCUAUCUGCUGACUCUGCUGAUGCUUGUUCCCUUUAAGAAAGUCAUCCAUGUUAUCUCUCUCGCAAACAGUCAUUUCCACUUCCUUACCUAACGCACAACGGAACGUCGCUUGUUCGGAUGCGCUAAUAGGAAUGUAAGUGAACUGCUCGCAACAAGUCCUGUAGGGGAUGGGGGUGUGUGUUGAGUAUAGAUAUCUCGGUAAUAAGAAGAUGAAUCACUUAGAUGUAAAUGCGAUGCUCGAGAGAGAAGAGAAAAUCCGUUCAAUUGAUCUGCGCUAACUGCACUAACUGUAGUUGUUGACGGGAAGGGAG